UGCCAGCAGCCGCGGUAAUACGGAGGGAGCUAGCGUUGUUCGGAAUUACUGGGCGUAAAGCGCGCGUAGGCGGUUACUCAAGUCAGAGGUGAAAGCCCGGAGCUCAACUCCGGAACUGCCUUUGAAACUAGGUAACUAGAAUCUUGGAGAGGCGAGUGGAAUUCCGAGUGUAGAGGUGAAAUUCGUAGAUAUUCGGAAGAACACCAGUGGCGAAGGCGACUCGCUGGACAAGUAUUGACGCUGAGGUGCGAAAGCGUGGGGAGCAAACAGGAUUAGAUA
rnacentral:rRNA from 1 species